UAAAGCGUGAGCCUCGAUAAUGUCAGCAUAAGGCCUGCGUGGAUGGGGGGCAGUCACCAACUAAGUGUAAUUCAUAGGUGAUCAUAGAGCUCACGGAGUGUUUACCACAAGAAAAGGGUGACCAUGUUGCACAAAAGGUUCAUGAAGCACCAGCAUUUACAUUUUAAUAUACUGAUUUUCUUCACUUGCCUGGUGAUGAUAUUGGUGAGGCAAGGAAGAAGAACUAGAAAAAUUCCACAGGCAAUGGUAGAAAGAAAGAGCAAGGGGAAUAUACAGAUGAAAUCUAGCAGAAUGGAAUAAGUGAGGGAUAAGAAAUAAGUUUUAGUGGAGAGCGGUAGAUGUGAGAGUGCUGCUCCCAGACUGAUGUAUUUGGAUAUCAGCGUGGCUGAUCCAUUAGAGGUACAAAUUGAAUGUCAAGAGAAAGAGAAGUUUGGCUUGGCAGAAGGGCUGUUGUCAUAAUGGCAGUGGAUUCAAGUCUCAAUGUAUCAUGAUGAGUAAAAGAGGGCCAGCAAGAUGAAGUUGAGCUAGGAUCAUUUCUAACAUUUAGGUAUGGACUGGAGAACCUUACCCAGAGGCUGCAGAGCCUCUGUUGGGCAGUUCAUGGCACAGGGCUCAGGAGGUCUAACUGGUAGAUGAGGCAUGAAAGGCAAAACUUCCAGAAAACUGAAAGUCAAUGACAC
ensembl:lncRNA